rnacentral:tRNA from 1 species
UAGGUUGAAGCCCGCUGGAUUGGGUGUUUGGUUGUUAACUAAAAGUUUCCGGGAUCGAAGCCCGUCGGCCUAGG